UGCGUAGGUGGUUUCUUAAGUCAGAGGUGAAAGGCUACGGCUCAACCGUAGUAAGCCUUUGAAACUGAGAAACUUGAGUGCAGGAGAGGAGAGUAGAAUUCCUAGUGUAGCGGUGAAGUGCGUAGAUAUUAGGAGGAAUACCAGUUGCGAAGGCGGCUCUCUGGACUGUAACUGACACUGAGGCACGAAAGCGUGGGGAGCAAACA
rnacentral:rRNA from 1 species